CUUCCAUAAUUUCUUUUAUUACUUUCUCCAUUUGUCAGAGCAGCAGAGCACAAGGCCCACAUGGAUUUUGUGAAGCAGUCUGGCUUGUAAGCAUACAUUUAAAACUUCAGCAGACAAGGAUGGCUUCGUGCAUUUAGCACGUGUUUUCCUGAAUCACAUGCCAGAAGGAGUUUAUACUUUUGAAGCGUUGCAAAACGCCUUUACCAGAAAGCCAUACUUCAGCUGCAUUUCUUCAAAUGAAAUUGGAGAGAAAGUAAAUGCAAUCUCAGAACCUGGUUCAAAAAAGACUUAUGCUCAAUUUCGAGUUAGCUGUCUUGAUUUUGCUCAACCCUAGAAAUAACAAUUACUUUUUGGCAUAACUCUGACACAGCAGAACACUGUCUUGUUUCUAUCUGGAUGUUAAGGAACCAGACAUCCAUUCUCUUGCUUGGUUUGUUUUUCAGAUAAAGACAUGAAAAGUAACACUCCCAAAAUGUAUUAACCUGGGAUAAUCUCAAUAUCCCCAUUAGUGCACUUUAAAUGACAGAGUGAAAAAACAAAACAAAACAAAACCCUACAGAAUAACAACAAAACCCCGAGGAAACACUGAACACUGUUUGGAGUCUCUAGAGGAAAUGGAAGGUCAUCUCAACCUGGAAGGUUUUGGGCAAUUAAUUGCCAGUAUAUAAUUGGCAUUAUGUAUAUAUUAUAUUGUGAGCAUAUAUAUGUUGGCAAUUGCUCUUUUUAGACAAUUGGGCACUAUUAGAGUCUGAGUUUGGAGCUAGGAAAUGGAAUGUGUAAUAAUUCAAACAUAGUUGGUAUGGUUUCACCAGUCUACAUCCUAUAACUGAACCUUAGAGUUAGUGCUCCAAUCAUUUUCUCCUCUUAAGAGAUAACCACAGUGUGAUUCUUUUUCCAAAUUCAAUAGUCAGCACUAUCAUGUUUUUAAUGCAAAGACUUGCAUAAAUAGAAAAAAAACAUAAAAAAUUGCUGUUGCAAGUAAAUGAAGAAAACAUUUGCAGAUUCUUUGGUUGGUGAAUUAGUAAAAAACCACUAUUUUUUCUGUAUAAUUAAAAUAAGAAAACCAAAGGCAAGGAUAUUCAUUUUGUUCUACAACAAGGAAAAAAAGUAGUCUCAGAACAUAAUUCUCCUUUCACCACAGGAGGAAAAAAGAUCAGUGAAGUAUAUAAAUCCCCUCUACUGCCAUACCUUCAAAACAAUUCACUAACAAAAGUAGACAUCACCAGCUUUUCAAAGUAGCCAUUGCUCAUAGACUGACAUGAGACUGAUAGUGGGAGGUGGUCAGGGAUUUCCUUGGUGUCAGCUGAGGGUUUUGGUUUAGUUUUGUUGUUAUUGUUUUGGGGCGGUUUCUUACAGUCAUUAAACUCUUUUUGUCUCAAUCCAUGAGUUUUUCUCACUUUUGCCUUUCCUGUUCUCCUCUCCCAUCCUUCUUUGGGGUGGAGAGGAGGAGUGAAGAAGCAGCUGGCUGAGCUGUAAACCGAGUUAGUUAAAUCUCCAGAGGCUCCAGGACCAGGUUUGGAGAUGGGGAGUUGUUUUGCCUUAGCAUUUGUGUAGAUUUUGGCACAGAAUUUUCUUGUCUGCAAAACGCUGCACCUCCAUGCAGCUUUCCUUGUUCACUUAUCUCAAUGCCUGUUAAAUAAAUAGUUUUCCAUGUUCCUUAUAUAUGUAGUAAAACAUAGAAAAUAGGAACAAACCCUUUAGAAGGUGGGAGCACAUUCUCACACAAGAAGUACUAAUAUUAUUAAUCUGAGAUUUGCUGCAGUGUUUCAUUCUCUGAGCAGCUGUCAAUCACCACCAUAUUUCUCUACUUGGUGAGAUCUGGUUUUUCGUGUUCGUCUUUUCCUUUGGUCAUUUAUUUCCUUGACAACUGAGCACAGUUUGUCUAUCUCCUGCUACUCCGCCUGUGGCUGAACACACACAAAAAUCAGCCUUUCACAGAACCAGGGAGGCUCAGCUGUGCUCAUGUGCUGCAGUUUUGCCGAGAAGUCUGUGUGGAGCCAGUGAACUGGGGAGGCGUCGGCAGAGCAGCUGCAGGAGAAGGUUUUUAGUAAUCUGCAUGGCCUUUUGAGUUGGACUGACCUUGGCUGGAUAUCUGGUGCCCACCAAGACACUUUAUCAUUCCCCUUUCUCAAUGUCACAGUGGAGAAAAACUAUGAUUAAAGACUGGUGGGGAAGGGUCGAUCCUUCAGGAGAAGGCUGCUCCAGCCUUGGUCACUAGGCCUGCCAGAAGACUUGUUCCACUUCAGCCUGCUCUCCAGAUGACAGCUGUGAAGGUUCUAAGGAUAGGUGGGAAUCAACAACAUCUUCCACUCAGGUGUGCCCAGCAGUAGGUUCAUCUCAGAGCUGCCUGGAACUGACUGUGUUGAACACGAGGGAGCUUCUUGCAUUUUCUCACACAAGCCACCCCUAAGAGCCCCUCUGUAUCAAAGCCUUGCCACAAAAACCCAGUACACCUCCAGGGAAUGGGACUUGGAUAACUCAUGGAGUGUGAAUACAGCAGUGUGUGGCCAGAACACCCAAAAUUUUCUCCUCUGAGAGGUUUCUUGCCCAAACACUGAUAGUUAUGAUCAAAAGCAAAUUAAAAAUAACAAGGUUUCCUUACAGCGAUGAUUAGCCACAUUAAGAUCUAUCCAGAGCAUGAUCAAGAGACUUUGGAUGAAGGAAGGAGUCAGCUUGAAAAGGCACAAAAUUAAGGAUGGGAAGUAUAUGAUGCAGGGAUUGAGAGGAAAGUAGCACACAGCCGUAAGUCUGGGCUUGAUACCCCAGGAGUCACCUUUCCAACAGCCCUCCCAGGCCAGUGUUCAUGCCUCACAAACCAUCCCUGCCAGACUGGGAAGGAUGCAGGGCCCCAACCAGCCUGUGCAGCUGUGGCUUGGUGGGGUGUGAGGAGCAGCAGGAGGACACCCAAAGCUGUUUGACCAGCAGCUCCCACAGAGGGUGUGCAAAGAGGGGAACCCUCAGAGCCAGGAGAGGGGAUGUGUGAUGGCAGCACGCACGGAGUGGGGGUGGAUCAGCUGGAGUGUGUGAACAGUGCCACGUGGGGGUGCGUACUUAGAAAAUUUUGCAAAAAAGGUUAAAGGGUUCUUGAAAUUUAUGAAGUUUUAUUAACAGCUGUUGAGUGUGUAGUGAUGCCAUUCAGGUGCCAUAUUGCCGUUACUGAUUAUAAAUGUACAGCUCCGGGAUUGCCAUUUUAUUACCUGUUGUUCGAAUAAAAAUCCAUAAACAAUUUUGA